CCUACGGGUGGCAGCAGUGGGGAAUAUUGGACAAUGGGGGGAACCCUGAUCCAGCCAUGCCGCGUGUGUGAAGAAGGCCCUCGGGUUGUAAAGCACUUUCAGUGAGGAAGAACGCCUGGUGGUUAAUACCCAUCAGGAAAGACAUCACUCACAGAAGAAGCACCGGCUAACUCCGUGCCAGCAGCCGCGGUAAUACGGAGGGUGCGAGCGUUAAUCGGAAUUACUGGGCGUAAAGCGCGCGUAGGUGGCUUGAUAAGCCGGUUGUGAAAGCCCCGGGCUCAACCUGGGAAACGGCAUCCGGAACUGUCAAGCUAGGGUGCAGGGGAGGAAGGUAGAAUUCCCGGUGUAGCGGGGAAAUGCGGAGAGAUCGGGAGGAAUACCAGUGGCGAAGGCGGCCUUCUGGACUGACACUGACACUGGGGUGCGAAAGCGUGGGUAGCAAACAGGAUUAGAUACCCCAGUAGUC
rnacentral:rRNA from 1 species